CACUUGAUGAAUAAGGAGGAGUGCAAGAAGGUUCCGGUUCCGAAUUUCAUUCAUUGUUUGAAUAAAUAGGUUCAGGGAAGGGAUUUCAUUCAUUUACUCUCUUGUAAAGUACAGGUGAAGGUGAAGGAGCGAAGCAACGAGACCGAGAGGGAGAGGAGCGAAGUAAUGAGACCAUACAGAAUAGGUUCAGGAUUGAAUUCAUUUACUCGAGUGUAAAGGGAAUAGAGGUUCCGGUUUCGUAGAGAAGCUGAUAGUUUACGAGGUUCAGUUCAGUCGAAUAAAUCCCCCGUAUUGAUCUUUUUCUUUUCCCUUGUUCAAUCGGUUGAAGGAGCGAAGCCACUUAUAGUUCAAGAAGGGAGCCGAAAGAGCAGAGGUGAAGGAGAAUGAAUCGGAAAGGGGCGAAGCAGUGAGACCGAGUUUUCCUCCUUCAAUAAGGGAGGGGAGUAGGUUGAGUCCGCAAAAGGAGACUCAACCCUACUCCCUUUGUCUAUGGAAGCCGCUUUCCCUCGUGAAAGAGUUCAAUCUGGUUCAUUCAGUAGUGAAGGAGAAGGAAUCUUUCGUCUUUGUUUCCAGUUCGUGAAAGAAUAACUCACAAUAACUUAAGGGAAUAGAGUCAAAGCUGAAUGAGUAAGUAGUGAGAGGAGAAGAGGAUAGGUUCAGUCUCAUUCAUGUUUCAUUUUCUUCUGAAAUCAAUUCUCUUGUAAAGCAGUUAAUUCAUUGACUCGACUCCCUUCUUUCUUUCAAACACUGUAAACUCGGAGAAGGUUUCGGUUCAGAUUUUUG